AUGUACUCCCUCCGUUCCGAAUUACUUGUCGCAGGUAUCGAUGUAUCUAAAUGUAUUUUAGUUCUAGAUACAUCCAUUUCUGCAACGAGUAAUUUGGAAUGGAAGGAGUACGAGCUAGCCUAUCCGCAACAGUUAAAACGGUCUACCACUUCUUCUGAUACUAAAGGGGGACAGGCAAUGAGAUUUGGGACACCAGCGUGGAUAGCAGAUGCCCGGAACAGAUGGCGGGUUUACCUUGCCCAUGCACUUCUCGAGGUGCGGGGCGAAGCGGCCGGCGACGACGGGGCGACCGCAGUUCAUGCAGUCGACGACGUCGGCGGCGAUGGCGGGGUGCGUCUGGCCGAAGACGUCGGGCGCGCCCUUGUUCCCCCCUCCUCCCCCGGCCCCGCGGGUGGCCCCGUCCUCGGCGCCGGGGUGGUCGCCGGCGACGCGCGCGGCCCAGAGGCGGAGCUCCUCCUCCUCGGCGUCGACGCUGCGGUCGAGGCCUAG
rnacentral:rRNA from 1 species